rnacentral:misc_RNA from 1 species
GUUUUUUUCAAAUAAGUCAAUGAAGUUGUCCUUCCCCCAAAAAACACAUUGGAACACAAUUUGCAGGCUGGGAUAAUAUAUGUAUCAAUUCUUUCAAUUGGGAAAAGAAUUUACAUACAAGAAAACUCUGGAAAAACCAACAAAAGGAACUUGUAGAUCUGGAGAAAGGGCUCAACUCUUUGAUUUUGAGUGCUUAACAAGCCAAUCAAUGACUGAGUCAAUAUUGGUGGAAUUCUUGCACGAGAUCAUAUAGCAGCACACUUCUCUAUCAGUUAUUGAUUUCAAUCCCAUCUGCUUAGUCAAAGCCUGUUUGGAAAGGGAAUCAGGCUUGUCAAUUUUGUUUCCCAGCACCAGCAGUGGAAUACCACUCAGAGAUGGCUUGCUCAACAGGUCAUGGAGUUCACUACUUGAUAUGCUGAGGUUAUCAGGAUCAGCAGCAUCAACAACAUAAACUAUAGCAGAAACAGCACGACAGUAACGCUCCCACAUACUGCGGAAUCUGGGUUGACCUCCAAGGUCCCACAAUUUUAUAGUGACAUUUCCUUUCGUCACUUUGCGCAUGUUAAAUCCCACAGUUGGUAUCAUGUCUUCACUGUAUCCACCAGUUGCAAUAACAUUUACAAGAGAUGUUUUUCCUGCAUUUUGCAAUCCUAUCAAUGAAAGCUCCAUUUCCUGCUUAAAGAAGAGGCUUCGAAGCCAAUUGAGCAAAGCAUCCCAAAGACCCAUAGCUAACGAGAGCGAGAGAUCCGAAAAUGUGAGUUUAUCGCAGAUUUUUGUAUAUAUGUAUGUAAAUCUCUCUCGCUCUCACUCACAAAUGAAAAAAUGUGUUUGUGUUCGGUUCAAAUUUGAACCUUUUUGAGAAAUUUC